UAUAAGGGAUUUUGAGUUUUUGCUUGCAACGUUUGACCACUCGUCUUAUUCAAAUUUUUUUGAAAUUAUUAUUUAUUUUAUUUGUGACUUACUUUAUUAUCCACAAUACUUUAAGCACAACUUUUCAUUUUUUAUAUUUGCAAAAAAAAUGAAUAAGACGAGUAGUCAAACGUUGCAUGCAAAAACUCAAAAUCCCUUAUA
rnacentral:pre_miRNA from 1 species